AAACAGAGCAAACUAAGGUCAUAUGCUUGGCGUUAAGACCCUGACUAUUCUAACAUUUAUGUCAUUUUACACUCAAAAAAUUGUAUUUGAUCCAGCUAGUGCUUGGCUUCAGGAAGCUAAUAUCUUCAGAACUGAGAAAACGGUGUAAAUGCCUUCAUGGGCUAGUAAGAUCACUAUUUCUAAAUUAAGAACAUUUUUUAUUUCUAAAUGCUUGUCUUAUGAGGGAGAUAUAAGGUGUAGUCUACAUAAUACUUUCCUCCUUCUUUCCUCCAAAAAGAAUUAAUUUUUUUUUUUUUUUUUUUUUUUUGUCGUCUGUUUUGAAUCAGAUUCAGAACUAACGAUGUCCGAUUCGCGAACGAAUCACUCUUUUGAGUCGAAUUGGGAAUACCAUAACGAUCUGAAUCGGUUCGCGAUUCUGUCUGAAUAAUUUAUAUACAGUGACGUACUAGAAUCUGUAGAGUGGUUUCUCACUUCGAAGUAGCGUGAUACUUUUGGACACAGAGGACAAAGAGAUGGCAGAAUGAACUGAAUAUGUACCCACAAUUAGUUAAAAUAAACUUGCAAAAGCAUCCUGUCGUCAGCGUCGAAGAAGCUUCGACACACGUGCAGCUUGUUAACGCCCCUGCGCUGCAGGUUUUUCUACACGGAUCAAUAUCAGAGCAGCGUGCGCUGAGAAGGAAACGCCAUCCAAGCACUGCAGGACGCUGACCUUUCACUCUCCCUACAGGUCACACCAUCCUCCCCUAAACAGGUCAACACACCAACACACAACUAUGUCAAAGUAUGCCUUAACAGAGAAUGUAUCCAGCGGAUACUAACACAAGCCAAGGAAUGGGCGAUUCAAUCAAAAGCCGAAAACGCAAGAAAACAUAUACCCAGCAGCCCAUAGGCAUCUGCGCAUUAAUAAUCAGUGUUCUGGUGAUUUCUAAACAAACCGACUGGCUUCUUGGGAGUGGCCUUAAGUUGUAUUUCCUGUGAAUAAAAUAUGUAGGAUAUAUAUUAUGUUCAUGUGCCCAUCUCAAAAUACACUGUGGCACCGGGUGGUGAUUUUACAGCCUAUCCCUUCCCCCAUGCUUUACACAAAUGAAUAUUAAUCUGAUCCUUCACUGUAUAAAGUUCUACACACUGCACUGGAGAUUUAACACAGUGACACGGAUGCGAUCGCUCAAAGUCUCAAGAACCUCCAGUCUAUUAAUUACUUAUGCUGAAGAUUCGUGCUGUCACUGAUAUCAUCAUACACGAAUAAUAGCCUGCGACAAUAUUCAUUAACGUUGCUGCUUGUCAAAUGUGCGUUUACAAUUAUUUUAUUUUAUUCCGCUUUUAUUGGGUUUAUUCAUCAUCUGCGCACACGGAAUUAAAUAGAAAACCCGGCUUACAGUCGAGCGAACAAGUCGCAGGAACUGCCAGUCACCUCUUAAUUCAGCAGGAUUUUUUAUAUAUAUAUAGAGAGCUUGUCAAGAGUGCCAGAGUCAAGUUCAAGUUCACGGCCACUUGAUUUCAAACUCCAUUUUAUCCCAAGUGUGGAGGGAAGGGCGACUGCGGCAUUAAAUUGCGGCAUUAAUCCAAAAUUAAACAAGGCUACUCUAAUAGUGAAGAAAAACUUUAUAUUAUUGGUACUGAGAUUAUGGACAGUUUUCCCGUGUAUCUAUUUUCUUCGUACUGCACUCAGUAUGCCUGUGCAUUGCUGCGAAAGCUCUAUUAAAAUGUUUCUGUCUUUUUUUCUUUUAAAAUGCUGAAAUAUCAGUUCUAGUGGUCAUUGGUGUUUGAAACGCCGAGAUGUUUAUGGAAAGAUAAUUCUGCCUAGUAACACAACAGCUAAAUGCUUCUUCUGACCACUGUCAAAUUUCUGUUUUAAAGUCUGUUUAGACUACACAGAAAGAUGGCCUAAAAGUUGUCAAAGUUUAUAAGCUAUAGAAAGCAUGGAAGGAACACGACGCGUUGUAAAGAUUGUACACUUGCACCACGUUUUAUUAUAUCUGUAUGCAGUAAAAUUUUUAUCACAAUAAUGGAGAAAACACUUCUCAAACUUUGAACAAAACACAUAUAACAAAACAACUGCCCCUGUUCAGCCCAUAAUUGUACAUAUUUAUAGUAAAGAAACAUUCUUUAUAAAUAUUGUUUCAUCUGUAGCAAGUAAAUACCAUAAUUUAAUUACAAAUGGAUAAAUAUGGCAGUCGAUAUUUACAAAAAGAAGGGUGUAGUUACAGAUAUUUAACGGCACGACAUUAAUUUGCCCCACAAUCUUCCAAAUAUAUUUCACAAUUCAAACUUGCAAAGCACAAAACAUCACAAGUUAAGCCCAGCAAACUAAGAUAUACAUUCACAAGCAAAUAUUGUGUCUGUCUUCGUUAAAUGUUGACUUUGGCACUCUUUCCAGUUAAUAGUUGUUUAGUUUACAAUCAGUUUGCCUUAAUGGGAUCACAAUAUUCAUUAUGAUAAUACAACUUUAUGGUAAUAUGUGCACUAAAAAGUCCAGUUAGAGAAAUAGCUACCAUUGAA